rnacentral:rRNA from 1 species
CCUUCGGAUUUGCUAGGAUUGGGCUCUUUUGGUGUACUUUCUCGUACGGUUAGUCAACAUCGGUUUUGAAUGUCAUAAAAUGACUGGAGGAAUGUGGCUUCGAUCUCGUAUUGAAGUGUUAUAGCCUUUGAUAUAUGUGAUGUUUGAGACCGAUGAUUGCAACGGAUACCCUUCUGGGCUAUUCGUCUGAUCUCUGAAACGUUGCCUUGAUGUCGAAAGCUUACUUAUGAUGUUAUGGUAUUACGGUCAAAAGGUUAGAACGGAUUAAA